ACAUUUGGUAAAGUCUGAGCGAUGCCUGUAGUCUAGUUCAUUAUACUCCUGUCAAGAAAGGGCAGAAUAAAGACAUACCUUUUGGGUGAAAUGGCAGUAUCUUCUGCUGUUUUGCUUCAGUCGGUGGUGUGAAAGA
rnacentral:snoRNA from 1 species